UAGGGAAUAUUGGGCAAUGGUCGGAAGACUGACCCAGCCAUGCCGCGUGCAGGAAGACGGCCCUCUGGGUUGUAAACUGCUUUUAUCUGGGAAGAAAAAGGCCAUGCGUGGCAAAUUGCCGGUACCAGAUGAAUAAGCACCGGCUAACUCCGUGCCAGCAGCCGCGGUAAUACGGAGGGUGCAAGCGUUGUCCGGAUUUAUUGGGUUUAAAGGGUGCGUAGGCGGCUGAUUAAGUCAGCGGUGAAAGACUCCGGCUUAACCGGAGCAGUGCCGUUGAUACUGGUUAGCUUGAGUGUUGGAGGGGUACAUGGAAUUGAUGGUGUAGCGGUGAAAUGCAUAGAUACCAUCAGGAACACCGAUAGCGAAGGCAUUGUACUGGCCAACAACUGACGCUGAUGCACGAAAGUGUGGGGAUCGAACAGG
rnacentral:rRNA from 1 species